AUUAUUGAAAUAUGGGCUGUUGCUGGUCCUCACUGAGGACAUGUGCACGCUUGUUGUUAUUUUUCCAACUGGGCAUAUAUUGUAGACCUGGAAGUCUUUUAUUGUUGGGAUAGAUUGAGGACUGCCAAUGCCGCUUUGCCUUGUAUUUCCAGGUCUAUGUUGUAAUACAAACAAAUGAAUGUCCAGUACUGGGGAAUAUGAAAUAAUAAUACAACUUUCCGCAACGGAUCUCUUGGCUCUCGCAUCUAUGAAGAACUCAGCGAAUUGCGAUAAGUAAUGUGAAUUGCUGAAUUCUUCGAAUCAUCGAAUCUUUGAACACCUCUUGCGCUCCUUGGUAUUCCGAGGAGCAUGCCUGUUUGAGUGUCAUUAAAAGUUCUCGACCACUCUGGUUCUUUCCGGUGUGGCUUGGAUUUGAGGGGUUUUGCACGCUUUUCAACUGAAGUCGGCUCCCUUGAAAAGGACUACUGGUAUCUGAGCAUAAGCCACCAUGGGUGUGAUAAUUAUCUAUGCCUUGGUGAAUGCCUGACCACCCUUAUUGCUGUGUUUUGACGAACUUGACCUCACCUCCGGUAGGACUACCCGCUGAACUUUUCCUAUCAUGCCCGGGAGGAAA
rnacentral:sRNA from 1 species